CAUUCACACUCGCAUUCACAGCUGUUAUUCGCAAUGACAACCAAAUGAAAAAUUUUAAGACGUGCAACGCCCUAAAAACCAAAAAAUUCCAAGUCAAAGUCCCUUGGUACAUUUUCUUAAGGCAUGAACGCCAUUAUACCGAUCAUUUGCGUAAUUUACGCAAACGUCUUCUCAAUAGAUGCUUACCUUGUACCGGGAGCAUUUGGGGGAGAGUGUUAUGAAAUAAUUUUUCCCGUUCUAAAAAACCACAAUCUCUUCAACUACCAUAAACUACAGAAGAUGAUUGUGGACGUUAAUAACAAUGCGCAGAAAUUAUGGUCGGAGGUGGAGGACGAUUUAAUCGAUACCUUUGAUGAUGAUGUUGCAUACUGGAAUCGUAUGAUUACAGGUACUGCAGCUUUGCACUUCAGCGCCAGGCAAAAGAGGAUUGCGUAUCGAUUUGUUUGUAGGACGCUAUUUUAUAGUGCAAUAAUCUACAUCACUCGGGUAAGGGUCAAAAAGUCGAUGGCCAAGAAGUGAAAAUUGCAGUCACGAGUGCCAAUUUCCUUGAGAAAAUGGUCAAAGGUCUCGAUAGACAAAAACAAUUUAUUUUAUCGCUUUACACGAAGAAGGAAAUACCUACGCAUCUCCACUAGUUCUGGAUAUUACUAGAAAAGUACAUGAACGUUGCGCAGAAUGUUAAUAUUAAAUUGUUUGUUAUCAAUAAAUCAAUAAAUUGUAGAUUAUA